CGCAUCUGGUGCCGAAUGAGUCAGUGGAGGGAGAAAGCACCAGUAUCCCCCAGUUGCUAGGAGACAAGCGGGGAGAUCCUGACCUGAAUUCUUAGCGCAGGCUGAUGUUGCUCGGGGAGCUUAGCCGGGUCUCUCCUGGAAAGGCAGGGAAAAGUUACUCCUGGGUUUGCAGAGGCAACAGGAUGAAAAUAAGCAGCUCCUAGGAUGAAAAGGCACCUGUCAUGAAAACUGGGAGCGCAUAUGCAAAAACUGGGGAGAAAGCAGAAGAAACCACCCAGCACGCACUUGGCCUCAACAUUAACAGAUGAAAUGACAGAAGGUUAAACAUGCAAACCCAAGCAAUUAAGGUUGUCCCAGACAUCUGUACUACAAAGAGUACUCUAAGCCAAACUCAUAACCCAGAAAACAGAACAGAAGCAAGUCAGGAAAGGCACCCAAGAACGAUGUCUCCAAUCCAUUUUGCUGGCUUAUGGAAGACAAUAUGAAAAUAAUACUAUAAACCUUUUCCUCCUGCUCCCUCUUCUCCCAGGUAAAU